rnacentral:rRNA from 1 species
UACGUAGGGUGCAAGCGUUGUCCGGAAUUAUUGGGCGUAAAGAGCUCGUAGGCGGUCUGUCGCGUCUACUGUGAAAACUCAGGGCUUAACCCUGAGCUUGCAGUGGGUACGGGCAGACUAGAGUGCGGUAGGGGAGACUGGAAUUCCUGGUGUAGCGGUGAAAUGCGCAGAUAUCAGGAGGAACACCGGUGGCGAAGGCGGUUCUCUGGGCAUGUUCUGACGCUGAGGAGCGAAAGUGUGGGGAGCAAACAGG